AGUGAACGCUGGCGGUAGGCCUAACACAUGCAAGUCGAACGGCAGCACAGUAAGAGCUUGCUCUUACGGGUGGCGAGUGGCGGACGGGUGAGGAAUACAUCGGAAUCUACUUUUUCGUGGGGGAUAACGUAGGGAAACUUACGCUAAUACCGCAUACGACCUACGGGUUAAAGCAGGGGAUCUUCGGACCUUGCGCGAUUGAAUGAGCCGAUGUCGGAUUAGCUAGUUGGCGGGGUAAAGGCCCACCAAGGCGACGAUCCGUAGCUGGUCUGAGAGGAUGAUCAGCCACACUGGAACUGAGACACGGUCCAGACUCCUACGGGAGGCAGCAGUGGGGAAUAUUGGACAAUGGGCGCAAGCCUGAUCCAGCCAUACCGCGUGGGUGAAGAAGGUCUUCGGGUUGUAAAGCCCUUUUGUUGGGAAAGAAAAGCAGCAGGUUAAUACCCCGCUGUUCUGACGGUACCCAAAGAAUAAGCACCGGCUAACUUCGUG
rnacentral:rRNA from 1 species